UACGUAGGGUGCAAGCGUUGUCCGGAAUUAUUGGGCGUAAAGAGCUCGUAGGCGGUCUGUCGCGUCGGCUGUGAAAUCCCGAGGCUCAACCUCGGGUCUGCAGUCGAUACGGGCAAACUAGAGUAUUGCAGGGGAGACUGGAAUUCCUGGUGUAGCGGUGAAAUGCGCAGAUAUCAGGAGGAACACCGAUGGCGAAGGCAGGUCUCUGGGACGGUACUGACGCUGAGACGCGAAAGCGUGGGGAGCGAACAGG
rnacentral:rRNA from 1 species